UACGUAGGGUGCGAGCGUUGUCCGGAAUUAUUGGGCGUAAAGGGCUCGUAGGCGGUUUGUCGCGUCGGGAGUGAAAACGCCGGGCUUAACUCGGUGCUUGCUUUCGAUACGGGCAGACUAGAGGCAUUCAGGGGAGAACGGAAUUCCUGGUGUAGCGGUGAAAUGCGCAGAUAUCAGGAGGAACACCGGUGGCGAAGGCGGUUCUCUGGGAAUGUCCUGACGCUGAGGAGCGAAAGUGUGGGGAGCGAACAGG
rnacentral:rRNA from 1 species